UACGGAGGGUGCAAGCGUUAUCCGGAUUUAUUGGGUUUAAAGGGUGCGUAGGCGGUUUUGUAAGUCAGUGGUGAAAUACUCUAGCUUAACUAGAGGGGUGCCAAUGAUACUGCAGAACUUGAGUACAGAUGAGGUAGGCGGAAUUGACGGUGUAGCGGUGAAAUGCAUAGAUAUCGUCAAGAACACCUAUAGCGAAGGCAGCUUACUGGGCUGUAAUAUCGCUGAGGCACGAAAGUGUGGGGAUCAAACAGG
rnacentral:rRNA from 1 species